rnacentral:rRNA from 1 species
UACGGAGGAUCCAAGCGUUAUCCGGAUUUGUUGGGUUUAAAGGGUGCGUAGGCGGGACAGUAAGUCAGUGGUGAAAUCCUAUCGCUUAACGAUAGAAUUGCCAUUGAUACUGCUGACCUUGAGUACAAAUGAUGUGGGCGGAAUGUGCAGUGUAGCGGUGAAAUGCUUAGAUAUUGCACAGAACACCGAUAGCGAAGGCAGCUCACAAAAAUGUAACUGACGCUGAGGCACGAAAGUAUGGGGAUCAAACAGG